rnacentral:misc_RNA from 1 species
GGAAGGAUCAUUCAUAAUUUUCCUUAUUUUAUAAAUUUUUUUUUUUUCAUUGUUUUGUGUAUAUCAAAUGACAAAACAAUGAAGGGUAAAGCCAAUAGAGCAAGCCAAUUUAUGUGUACUGUAUUCAGGUUGAUUUUUGUUUUGAAAGGAACAACUCCUCCUGAUUUAAUUUCUUAUAUUAAUCUAUAACGAAAUUUUAUUAUGAAACAAAUUAAUAUUUUGAUAUAAUUAAAAUUUAAAUAACAACUUUCAACAAUGGAUCUCUUGGCUCUCGCAUCGAUGAAGAACGCAGCGAAAUGCGAUAUGUAAUGUGAAUUGCAGAAUUUUUAAGUGAAUCAUCGAAUCUUUGAACGCAUAUUGCACCCAAGUGGGUAACCACAGGGUAUACUUGCCUGAGAAUAUGUAUGUUUAAUUAAUCAAUCGAAAGAUUUUCUUUCAUUUGAUUAGCAUUGAGGAGUUCGAACUAACAGAGAAGGCUCUGGUUCGUUCCUUUAAAAUAAUACAUAAAAAAGGGGAAAAAAAAAAAAAAAAUUACAAGAAGCAUUAUUGAUUACUCCGACGUGUCGGAAUAUUUUUGUGCGAUCUUAAGCGUAGUUUUUUUUCUUUUUUCCUCUUUUAAAAAAACUGAGGGGGACCUCAAUUUUUCUUCAUAAUCUCAGUUUAAGUAAGACUACCCGCUGAACUUAAGCAUAUCAAUAAGCGGAGGAAAAGAAACUAACAAGGAUUCCCUUAGUAACGGCGAGUGAAGAGGGAUGAGUCCAUAGCUUAAAUCCAAUCCUAUAUGUAGGAUGGAGUUGUACUAUGAAGUUAUUUAUUCGGUUCAAGCCUGGGUAUAAAUCCUUGGGAUAGGGUAUCAUAGAGGGUGAGAAUCCCGUCUUUGACCCAUGGCAUUGAAGCAUGUGAUAAAAUUAACAAAGAGUAGAGUUGUUUGGGAUUGCAGCUCGAAUUGGGAGGUAGUUUUCUCCCAAGGCUAAAUAUGGGCGAGAGACCGAUAGCGAACAAGUACCGUGAGGGAAAGAUGAAAAGAACUUUGAAAAGAGAGUUAAACAGUGCGUGAAAUUGUUGAAAGGGAAACGUUUGAGACCAGUCUAUGUAGGUAUGGUAAUCAGGGUGAGUGAAAGCCGUUUUGGGCGAUUACCAUCUGCACUUAUCUGCCUACAGGUCAACAUCAGUUUUACUUGUUGGAAAAAUCUUGUUGGAAUGUGACGAUUGCCCUUUUGGGUAUCGUGUUAUAGAUGAUAAGAUAUACAAUGAGUGAGACUGAGGAUUGCAGCGCGAAUCUCUUCGGAGGUUAGGUACGUCGGUUGAUAUGAUGGUCGUCUGUAGGGUAUGCUCUGUCUUAAACACAGGACGACUCUCUGCGAUCCAUAUCGGUCGAAUGUUUAUACUAUUCUGCGCUUAGGAUGUUGACAUAAUGGUCUUAAACGACCCGUCUUGAAACACGGACCAAGGAGUCUAACAUAUAUGCGAGUGUUUGGGUGGCAAACCCAUACGCACAAUGAAAGUGAAUGUAGGUGCUAACUCUCAAUUCUGUUGGGACAUGCAGCAUCGACCGAUCUUAAAGUCUCAAUUAUAAUGUGACUGGGAUUGAGUAAGAGCAUAUAUGCUGGGACCCGAAAGAUGGUGAACUAUGCUUGAAUAGGGUGAAGCCAGAGGAAACUCUGGUGGAGGCUCGUAGCGAUUCUGACGUGCAAAUCGAUCGUCAAAUUGGGUAUAGGGGCGAAAGACUAAUCGAACCAUCUAGUAGCUGGUUCCUGC